AUUGAACGCUGGCGGCAUGCUUUACACAUGCAAGUCGGACGGCAGCACAGAGAAGCUUGCUUCUUGGGUGGCGAGUGGCGAACGGGUGAGUAAUAUAUCGGAACGUACCGAGUAAUGGGGGAUAACUAAUCGAAAGAUUAGCUAAUACCGCAUAUUCUCUGAGGUGGAAAGCAGGGGACCUUCGGGCCUUGCGUUAUUCGAGCGGCCGAUAUCUGAUUAGCUAGUUGGUGGGGUAAAGGCCUACCAAGGCGACGAUCAGUAGCGGGUCUGAGAGGAUGAUCCGCCACACUGGGACUGAGACACGGCCCAGACUCCUACGGGAGGCAGCAGUGGGGAAUUUUGGACAAUGGGCGCAAGCCUGAUCCAGCCAUGCCGCGUGUCUGAAGAAGGCCUUCGGGUUGUAAAGGACUUUUGUCAGGGAAGAAAAGGCUGUUGCUAAUACCGACAGCUGAUGACGGUACCUGAAGAAUAAGCACCGGCUAACUACGUG
rnacentral:rRNA from 1 species